CUACGGGGCGCACCAGUGAGGAAUAUUGCACAAUGGGGGGAACCCUGAUGCAGCAACGCCGCGUGGAGGAUGACGCAUUUCGGUGUGUAAACUCCUUUUAUAUGUCAAGAAAAUGACGGUAGCAUAUGAAUAAGCACCGGCUAACUCCGCGCCACAGCCGCGGUAAUACGGAGGGUGCAAGCGUUACUCGGAAUCACUGGGCGUAAAGGACGCGUAGGCGGGUUGGAAAGUCAGGUGUGGAAUCCUACAGCUUAACUGUAGAACUGCACUUGAAACUUCUAAUCUAGAGUAUGGGAGGGGGAGAUGGAAUUAGUGGUGUAGGGGUAAAAUCCGUAGAUAUCACUAGGAAUACCUAAAGCGAAGGCGAUCUCCUGGAACAUUACUGACGCUAAGGCGUGAAAGCGUGGGGAGCAAACAGGAUUAGAUACCCCUGUAGUC
rnacentral:rRNA from 1 species